GAGUUUGAUCCUGGCUCAGAACGAACGCUGGCGGCGUGCCUAACACAUGCAAGUCGAACGUGAUCCAGAGCUUGCUCUGGUGAAAGUGGCGCACGGGUGAGUAACGCGUGGAUAACCUACCCUGGUAUCCGGGAUAACAUUCCGAAAGGGGUGCUAAUACCGGAUAAGCCCACGGGCUCUUUGGAGCUUGCGGGAAAAGGUGGCCUCUAUUUAUAAGCUACUGUAUCAGGACGGGUCCGCGUACCAUUAGCUAGUUGGCGGUGUAACGGACCACCAAGGCGACGAUGGUUAGCUGGUCUGAGAGGAUGAUCAGCCACACUGGAACUGAGACACGGUCCAGACUCCUACGGGAGGCAGCAGUGGGGAAUUUUGCGCAAUGGGGGAAACCCUGACGCAGCAACGCCGCGUGAGUGAUGAAGGCCUUUGGGUCGUAAAGCUCUGUCAGAGGGGAAGAAAUGAUAUAGUGCUAAUACCACUUUAUCUUGACGGUACCCUCAAAGGAAGCACCGGCUAACUCCGUGCCAGCAGCCGCGGUAAUAC
rnacentral:rRNA from 1 species